GACGAACGCUGGCGGCGUGCUUAACACACGCAAGUCGAACGGUAAGGCCCUUCGGGGUACACGAGUGGCGAACGGGUGAGUAACACGUGGGUGAUCUGCCCUGCACUUCGGGAUAAGCCUGGGAAACUGGGUCUAAUACCGGAUAGGACCACUGCCUGCAUGGGUGGUGGUGGAAAGCUUUUGCGGUGUGGGAUGGGCCCGCGGCCUAUCAGCUUGUUGGUGGGGGGAUGGCCUACCAAGGCGACGACGGGUAGCCGGCCUGAGAGGGUGACCUGCGACACUGGGACUGAGUUACGGCCCAGGCUCCUACGGGAGGCAGCAGUGGGGAAUAUUGCACAAUGGGCGGAAGGCUGAUGCAGCGACGCGGCGUGAGGUAUGACGGCCUUCGGGUUGUAAACCUCUUUCAGCACCGACGAAGCGCAAGUGACGGUGGGUGCAGAAGAAGGACCGGCCAACUACGUGCCAGCCGCCGCAGUAA
rnacentral:rRNA from 1 species